rnacentral:rRNA from 1 species
GACGAACGCUGGCGGCGUGCUUGACACAUGCAAGUCGAACGGAAAGGCCUGCUUUCCCUUGUGGAUUGCGGGUACUCGAGUGGCGAACGGGUGAGUAACACGUGAGUGAUCUGCCCCCAACUUGGGUAUAAGCCUGGGAAACUGGGUCUAAUUCCCGAUAGAACUGCAGGGUGGUGCCUGUGGUGGAAGACUAUCUUCUAGUGGUUGGUGAUGAGCACGCGGCGUAUCAGCUUGGUGGUGGGGUAAUGGCCUACCAAGGCGACGGUGGGUAGCCGUACUGAGACUGAGAGCGUCGACGGCCACAUUGGGACACGGACCAGGCCCCGACUCGUACGGGCGGCAGCAGUGGGGAAUCAUGCACAAUGGGCGGAAGCCAGAAGCAGCGACGCCGCGUGGGGGAUGUCGGCAUUCGGGUUGUAAACUACUUUCGAACGCGAGGAAGCCACCUGGUUGGAAGGGUGGUGACGGUAGUGGAAGAAGAAGCACCGGCUAACUACGUG